GGCUCCAUAGUUCAACUGGAUAGAAUAUCAGGUUUCGACCCUGACGGUUGCAGGUUCGAGCCCUGCUGGAGUCA
rnacentral:tRNA from 1 species